rnacentral:lncRNA from 1 species
AGCCAGUUAGCUAGAAGCAAGUUCAAAAAGAAUUCAGAAAGGGAGGUGGUGGGGGUGGUUAGGAAGGCAGGUCAGUAGACAACUUCUGUGACAUCCUAAGGAGUUCAGACUUGGCCCUGUAGCAGUGAGAAGGCAGUUAAGGAUUUUAAGCAUUGUGCAAAACAGAGUAAUAGACUGCAGUCUGUCAUGACUAGAAGAAGGGGUCUCAUUGGAAGAAACUGGAGGGACAAAUCAGACUCUGAACAAAACUAGCAGCACUGGGGAUGGAGCAAAGGGAUUGAAUACAAGAUAUAUGAAUGAUGUAAAAUUUACAGGCCAUGGUGACUAUUUGGACACGGGACAUGGAGAGAAGACUGCUCUGGCAGCCUAGGGAGCUGUUGGUUAUCUUUAGGGAUGGGAAGACAUACAAGAAAGCAACCAGUUACUGGAUUAUAUGAGGAAGGCUGUGACAGAGGCCAUACCGGAUGCUGCAGGAACACAGAAAAAGAAGGAUCUACGCCCUUUGAUGAAUUCCCAGGAAGCCUUCCCAGAUGUGUCAGUGGGCUCUUGAAGGGUGCUCAUCUACUGGAAAGGCUUCAACUUUCACCUUUGCUGAUGACGUUCCAGUCCCAGUCUGCCCAAUCUGAAUUCUUCCUCAGCCUCUGCUUAGCUUCCUAUCCUCCGUUCCUUCUCCUAUGAUCUAGGCAGACAUUGAGGAUUAUGCCUGGCACAUUUUCUCAGAGGGCCAAGGCACAGCCUUAAUUUUCUACUCAACUGGGAGCUCUAGGCACCCAUUACCAUUCAGAGUUGGCAUUCGAGACAAAAACUAUUUUUUUCCUGAAUCUAGUCCUUUUAAUUUUAAGCACCUUAAGGAAUAUACCUUUUAAAGUGUCUUGAAGGAUUUCAUUCCCCCAUUCAUUCAGCAAACUGUAAAGAGCUUCCCAUGUGCUGCCUGUUGAAUGCAACAUCCUCCCUCUCAAACCCUCUCCUGCUCAACAGGUCCCCUGCUAUCAAUGAUACCAGCAAUAGCACUGAAAGAAUAAAUAUACACCAGAUAACACAGGUGAGUGGGCACAGCUCUCCAUGCCACCCUAGUUCCUCACAAAGGCAUGCCCAAUAUUUGGAGGUACUGACAGCCUUAGAGGAAGGAGAAAUCCACCAGGUCAGAAAAAUUCUGAGCUGUAGGCUUGCUGCCUUUCUUACCUACAUUUGAGGAAAGGCCAGGUUAGCAUCCAAGAGUCCACCCUAUCACCAUAUAAAGAAUUCCAUGCCAGACACAUAUACUUCUAUUUCCUAAUGCUGGUCCUGGGUCUACAGUGGUCUUAUUAUAAUCAGUAGACCAUUCUAGUUCAAGCCCUUAUCCCCUCCUAUAUGGAUAACUGUAACAGACUCUCCUCUCCAGUUCAUCCUAUAAAUGCCAUAGCCAAACUCUACCCCAAUUUUAACUCCUAGUAAUUACUGAUUUGUUCUAUAGGUUGGUGCAACAGUAAUUGCGGUUUUCACCAUUAAAAGUAAUGGCGAAAGUAAUGCUUAGCCUCCUAUUUGGCGAAACUGUAAUGGUGAAAACUGUAAUUACUGUUGCAUCAACCUAAUACAACACUGCAAUUUUGUUUUUUAAGAAUUUCAAAUAGGCCAGGCACGGUGGCUCACACCUGUAAUCCCAGCACUUUGGAAGGCCGAGGCGGGUGGAUCACCAGGUCAGGAGUUCAAGACCAGCCUGACCAACAUGGUGAAACCCCAUCUCUACUAAAAAUACAAAAAUAAGUUGGGUGUAGUGGCGUGCGCCUGUAGUCCCAGCUACUCAGGAGGCUGAGGCAGGAGAAUAGCUUGAACCUGGGAGGCGGAGGUUGCAGUGAACUAAGAUCGCACUGCACUCCAGCCUGAGCGACAGAGCAAGACUCCAUCUCAAAAAAAAAAAAAAA